rnacentral:rRNA from 1 species
UACGUAGGGGGCAAGCGUUAUCCGGAUUUACUGGGUGUAAAGGGAGCGCAGACGGAACUGCAAGUCUGAUGUGAAAGCCCGGGGCUCAACCGCGGGACUGCAUUGGAAACUGUAGAUCUGGAGUGCCGGAGGGGCAAGCGGAAUUCCUGGUGUAGCGGUGAAAUGCGUAGAUAUCAGGAGGAACACCGGCGGCGAAGGCGGCUUGCUGGACGGCAACUGACGUAGAGGCUCGAAAGCGUGGGGAGCAAACAGGAUUAGAUACCCUGGUA